rnacentral:lncRNA from 1 species
GAGUAAAUGACAAAACAGCAGCCGCUUCCUAACAGCAUCACUUCUAGCUGAGUUUCUUUUUUUUCUGGAAGGGUGUUCCAGGGAAGGCGGGUAAUCAAGGCCAAAGGGGACAAAUGGGACCACGAGGACGUGAAGGGCUACAUGGAGAGAAAGGCAGGAGGGGAGCAGAAGGAUCGCCAGGCCCAGAGGGACCCAAAGGAGACCGUGGCAGGACUGGUGCUCCUGGUUUUCCUGGUACUACAGGCUUACCUGGACACCCGGGAGCAGGUGGUGAGCCUGGUUUGCCAGGAGUGGAUGGCUGCAAUGGGACAAGGGGUCGACCAGGAGUCUCUGGUCUGGAUGGUCUGGAUGGUCUGCGU